rnacentral:misc_RNA from 1 species
GUGAAUCAUCGAAUCUUUGAACGCAAAUUGCACUCUCUGGUAUUCCGGAGAGAAUGCCUGUUUGAGGGUCAGUAUAAAUAAAAAUCGGUGUGGGUGCUGCCUUAUGUGGUGACGUACCGGAAGUGGGACAACUAGCCGUCGGCUAAGUGCCCUCAAAUAUUGCAUGAUCUUUUCGAACGUAAUUACAAGAUUUUACGUACGUUU